rnacentral:lncRNA from 1 species
AUAUGCUUUUGAGGGUGUUGAGAAAGAGGAACACUCCUCCAUUGCUGGUGGGCUAUCAAGCAUUUACAACCACUCUGGAAAUCAGUUUGGUGGUUCCCCAUAAAAGUGGACAUAGUACUACCAGAAGAUCCAAUAAUACUACUCCUGGGCAUAUACCCAGAAGAUGUUCCAAUUUGUAAUAAGGACACAAACUCCACUAUGUUCAUAGCAGUCUUAUUUAUAGUAACCAGAGCUGGAAAGAACCUAGAUGUUCCUCAACAGUGAAAUGGAUACAGAAAAUGUGGUGCAUUUACACAACUGAGUACUACUCAGCUAUUUAAAACAGUGACUUUAUGAAAUUCUUAGGCAAAUGGAUGGAUCUGGAGGAUAUCAUCCUGAGUGAGGUAACCCAAUCACAAAAGAACACACAGGAUAUGCACUCAAUGAUAAGUGGAUAUUAGCCCAGAAUCUCAGAGUACCUAAGAUACUAUUUGCAAAACACUUAAAACUCAAGAAGAAGGAAGACCAAAGUGUGGAUACUUCAAUUGUUCUUAGAAGGGAGAACAAAAUAACCGUGGAAGGAUUUACAGACAAAGUUUGGAGCAGAGACUGAAGGAUCCUGUCAGCAAACUCUUGUUGGCAUCUACAGCAGUGUCUGAUUUUGGUGGUUGUUUAUGGGAUGGAUCCCUAGAUUGGGCAGUCUUGGAUGCUCAUCCUUUCAGCCUCUGCUCCAAACUUUGUCUCUGUAAAUACUUCCGUUCAGGAGAACACAAGAUGUCUUAGUCAGGGUUUUAAUGCUAUGAACAGACAACAUGACCAAGGAAGUCUUAUAAAAAAAAAAACAAACAAACAAACAAGCAAAAAACAACAUUUAAUUGGGGCUAGCUUAUGGGUUAAGAGAUUCAGUCCAUUAUCAUCAAGGUGGGAGCAUGGUGGCAUCCAGGCAGUCAUGGUGCAGGCAGAGCUGAGAGUUCUAUGUCUUCAUCCAACAGCUGCUAGUGGAAGACUGCCUUCCAGGCACAUAGCUUGAGAGUAUUAAGCCCACACCCAACGUGACACACAUACUCCAAACAGGUCAUACCUAUUUUAACAAGGCCACACCUCCAAAUGGUGCCACUCUGUGGUCCAAGAAUAUACAGACCAUUACAAUAUUGCUUUAAAGAAUGUCUUCCCUGUUAAUAUUAAUGAUUCCAUUAUGGCUACAAGACCAGGAGGCAAAGGGGUGGCUAAUGUCUCAGUAAAAUGGUAAAUGCUGCAAACUUCAGGACAGCCCUUAGGGCUGUGGAAAAGACCUUUAAAGUCUUAGGUUCCAAAUAUGUAAUUCCUCAAAAAACAAUGAUGCAAAUUGAAUUAUGAGGGGCUUCACAAAUCUAAAGGAAAGAAAGUAGGUGUGCUGUGAGCCAACUUAUCAGACAGAUACUAAGGAAGGAUAUAGAAGAUAAUGAGACUUAGAGAGUGGUGAUCACAAGAGAUUUAACCAAGAUAAGUUUUUGUUGUUAUAGCUGUUUUUUAUAUUUACAAAGCCAAACAGAUUCCUGAGUUCAAUAUCAGCCUGGAACAGAUCAAGGUUAAGUCCAGGUGUUUUGGAAAUGGAAUUUCAGGACUGGGUUGCACUCAACUAGUUUAGUAUCUGUGCUUAACAGAGAGGCAUGAAGACCUCUAAAUUCUUCUGCAAUAUUAAAAGAAAAUGUGUACUUGCUUUCUGCUAAGAAUCAGGUGUGUGCUCAGGGAUGCACAUUCUUAAGAUAAUCAAACGGAAACUUGGAGUAAAUGACUGGAUUGGUAUGUAAAAUAAAAGACUGGACUCUGAUCUCCAAGAGAUGACCUACUAAGAGAAUUUUUUUAGAAUAGCAAAAGAGAAUUUCUUGUAGAAGAUUCUCAUGGAGAGCUGCUUGAAGAUCUCCAGAGAGGCAGAUCAGACAAAAUGAGCACAGAACAGAAUGAACGCAGGGUAGAAGACUGUUUCCAGCAGAGCAUAGGUUGUUACCCUGUAGUGAUGAUUCAACUGCCUUCCCUUUAUUUUUGAUGCUCCCAGAUACCCCUUCUCUCAGAACACUCCUUUUAGCCCAGGAUUGGAACUUGGCAACAGAGGAAUAUUUUUAUGCCACUAAGUUUUUAAUCUAUAUCAGGACUUAUAGGAAAGGUCUCAUUUAUGUUAACAUAAAUGUUCCUUAGUAUCUGUCUGAUAAGUUGGCUCACAGCACACCUACUUUCUUUCCUUUAGAUUUGUGAAGCCCCUCAUAGUUCAAUUUGCAUCAUUGUUUUUUGAGGAAUUACAUAUUUGGAACCUAAGAUUUUAAAGGUCUUUUCCAAUGCCAAUAGUAGCUUAUACCCAACUAUUUUGAUUUAUGGUUCUUUUGGAAGUGUAAUUAAAGACCAUGUUGAUCAGAUGUGUGAGACCUAGGAAAAGUAAUGGGUUUGAACAGUGCUCUUAACCACUGAAUGAUCCCUGCGUGCCAAGUAACCCACUUUCAAUAAAAU